UGCCAGCAGCCGCGGUAAUACGAAGGGGGCUAGCGUUGUUCGGAAUCACUGGACGUAAAGCGCACGUAGGCGGAUUUGUAAGUUAGGGGUGAAAUCCCGGGGCUCAACCUCGGAACUGCCUUUGAUACUGCAAGUCUAGAGUCCGAGAGAGGUGAGUGGAAUUCCUAGUGUAGAGGUGAAAUUCGUAGAUAUGGGGAGGAACACCGGAGGCGAAGGCGGCCACCUGGACCGGUACUGACGCUGAGGCGCGAAAGCGUGGGAGCAAACAGGAUUAGAUA
rnacentral:rRNA from 1 species